GAAAGACCAGGCAUGAGUCCAAGGAUGGGUAAAACAUUUCUAUACCUGUGGAUAUAAAGGUAUCGAUUACGGACGUAUUGUAUUGGUUUAUUGUCUUGCUGGACUGCUGGCCAUGCACGGGAAAUAUAUAUUUGCGCUCACGUCGCAAUUGUUGGGCAUUGAGUGGAGUGGUCAUGGAGAGACAGUGAGCUCUCUCUGAGUCCUUGUUGGAUGUCCGGAAUAGAUUUUGAUUUGAGAUCAUGAUAUGUUUUGGGGUCUAUGAAAAUCUCUCCUGAAAUGGAAAUGAAUAGACAACUAUAGAUGUCAAUUCGGUAACCCGGGGUGUGGAAUAUUACGCACUUUUCCCUCAUGGCUUUACCAAACUCCUCGGGCUCCUCUGGAGCUGACAAGCCCAACCCCAGUCUCAUAGAUCUGGGAACAUUCUUCGUGGACUCUGAUAUCAUAUUUGGAUUUACCAGUCAUCUUCUGAGGAGAAAAGCAAAGGUUGAGGGUUGUCCCAGCGGUGAGUCGCCGUUCCCUCUUGAUCUGAAUACCAGGAAAAUACUUCACUCAUCCGAGUAUGCGCGGUGUAACAGCCGGCCACCACCCGAGGGCGCUGGGUCGGUGACCGUCUCGGAGUCAGAGAGAAGGGACGUCAAAGGAAGCUUUUGCCAACAAUGUUAAAUGAAUGUGACUGAGCUGAAGAGGCAAGCGCUGGCCUUGGCAGACCCAAGAUUUUAUGCACUACAGGUGAAUUACAGGUGAAGUCACUCAAUCCAGUCCCUGAGGCCUGUUGGGGGGACCAUACCAAGGACUCCUGGUGACAGCUAGCAGAAUGAACUACCCGGAUUCAUAUCACACUGCGGGAGGGUAAGACACAAUGACACUCUCAAACAAUAACAGAGUUCGAGAGGAGAACUGGAAUUAACAGAAUUCUGGGGGCCAUCUCUCGAAUGAAAAAUACCUUACCUGUCCUUUCCUCACUGUUCUUGUUCAUAGAAGUGAAAAUGUGUCUGACUCUUGCUAAUGAUGUGUUUUCUGGAAGAGGGCGGGGCUUUAUAGGUGAGCUGUCCAUCCUAAGCUGUAUGGUUGGAGACCUUAUUCCUACACCAUGAACCCGAGAAGGCCAGAGGGUAAUAUUGACAUGAUUAAACAAGGAGGAAUUAGUGUUAACCAAGCAUAAGAGAUCACUUGAUCUGGAUAAACAGGAAGUGAGAGUAGGAUAGGGAAGGAUGUCUCAGUGGAGUUCUAUGUAGACCAAGUGGUGUCUCUGACUCCUUGGCAGUUCAGGACUAAGAGUAGCUAUUGUGACGACCCUCCCACUCUGUCUGCCGUAUUCUGGCUUUGUUCUUGUUUCCUUAUUAGGAUGCCGGUGGGCGGAGUUGGGGAGGGUCGUCAGCUACAUGGGAAACACCUGGGCCAGGUGUGUCCCAGGAUAAAUAGACUUCUUCCACAUUCAUGGAGGAGACUCUCUCCAUGCAGACACCUUUGUAGAUUGUGUUGUGGUUCUUGGUGGCCUUUUGUUUGUUUGCAUUGGCACCUUUCAAUACCCUGCAUUAUCACAUUCAUUAAAACACUCACUUACACUACUGAUUACACACACCAUUGUAUAUUUUCCUUAGUUGCUUUGGUUAAUAAAUAUAUAUUUUGUUACUCCUUAUCUCCACGUUGUCUCCCUUUGUUACGGGCUUUGAGCCGGUUCGUGACACUAUUAUGGAAGACAUCUAUGCAAGUCUCUGUGUAGUUCAUGAAAACAUGUUAUAGCUCACAUCAUGUGAGAAGGCUACAUAAAUCUACAUACCCAGCAUGGAAGGAGAUGGAGUGUAGUGAAAGUAAGGGUUUCAGUUGAUAACCUAGUGCAUUCCAGGUAGAAAAAGUUAGAGCAGCUGAUUGCUCUAUAGUCAGCAGAAUACAAGCAGAGUCCCUGACAAAGCAGAUACUGACUGUGGAGUUGUCCAGAGCCAAGAGCCGGUGUGGAUAGUUCAGAAAUUGAAUUAUUCACCUAAGGGAACAGCUUGUAUGGUAAAGCUAUUCAUGGAAACAGGAAAGCCAGAUAAUAAGUUGUAUCGAUUUGCACUAUUUAGAUCUACAUGUUCCUCUGAAAUCUGAGUUUCCUCCUUUCACAGAGGCAACGGGAGACUGAGUAUUACGGGCUAAUUGAACAGAGGUAUGUGUACUGGUACAUUUGAGAAUGCCUUUCACACUUAUUCAACACCAUGACAUGGGUUUGACUAAACGGGAGAAAAGAAGUACUCCGACUGGGUCUUUUGAUGAUAGGGUUUGUAUUAAUAACAUUGUGGUUCCAAGGGUGGCAGAUGAGAUCAAAGCUAUAAAUUAGAUCCUGGCAGGAUUAGAGUCAAGUAUUUUUUGGUGGUCCACUCUCAAUGAGAAUGAGAAUGUGGAUUGGAUCAAUUAUAUCUAUUAAAAAUCCACAGUGCUUCACCAAUUAUAUUAGAGAUGUAAUGAAUGACUUGACAGAAUAGAAUAGUCUUGGAUGUUUAGCUGGCUGAAGAGGGUGGGAGUGUAUAGGUAAUUUGACUCCGGGGAUAUACAGUUAGGAUGGAUCAGUGACCAAGGCCUUGUCUGGUUUACACACCCUAGUUUACGAGUUGGAAAUAAACUCAGGGGUGGAUACUUCUCUGACUAAUUGGGUUGACAGUGUGUUUGGAAGAUGGAAAAAUGUUAUGAUUACUGUGUUAUGGGCUACCUUCACCUGUGUGACUGUGUUAGUUUUGUACGGACGUGGUUGAUUGUGUGUAUGAAAGUUAUCAUUUCCAGGACUCUGGAGAAAUCGAUGACACUUCAGAUGGUGAUAUAUGGACCAAUCCUAAACUCUGACCAGUGGAAUACAAAAUACAUGUCUUGGACGUAAUAGAAGAAUCUGGAUCCUUUCACUCGCGAGGAGACCAUAUUUGAUGUUUUCUUGUUUCAAUGUAUAGACUGUUUUUUCAUGAAGAUUAACAGAAAAUCCUGAUAAGUAGAAUUAAGAUUCUGAUGUAGGAUAGAACAGUCAUUGAAGUUGAUUAUGUACAUACAUGUAUUGGUUGUCUUCUUUUAGUAUAUCAUUGAUAUAUUUACAUGUAGUGUUUAAUGAUGGUAUGAGUGGUUAAGUCAUUUUGAGGGUGGAUUGUUAGUAAAUUAAUUAAUAUGACUGAACAAAUCAUUUUAAAUGGAACUGUAACUAAGUAAACUUAUACUCUGUUUUAUUAUAUCUGAUUAACUAUAUGGGUUGUGGACUGUGAAAACAGACAAGGUCGUUAGCCUAUGGUUGACCCUACAGAAACUUAGCUCUGGGGUUUUUAGAUAACCUAGGAAUGCACUCACUGACUUUUCUGUUAAUUAAAUCUGUCAGUUCAGUGGUGAUCGAUAAUGUUGAGGGGUCAAAAGUUAUCUGGGAGUAUGUUAGUAAGAUAGAAUGAACUUUUCACCUUACUUUGUCCUGGUCGAGAGGAGGGGAUUCUGUUAAAGCAAUGAAAUGAUGUCAUGAUCUGUAUAUAAACUGCUGCACGUGAUUAAGUGGGAGCGCGCUCCGAGAAUAAAUUCUAUUUCCUAUUAUUGAAA